CAACUGAAUCCAGUCCGCGCCAUUUAGUAUUGAAGGACUUGAAUCUUAAUGAUAGAUAGAUAUCACUAACCCCAUUAAACAAACAACAUAGAGGCUUUGGUCAUGUUCAAAGCCCUCUGAGAAGGAUGCAUCCUCCAAAAAUUGAAAGAAAUCUAGAACGAAAAGAAAGAACAAAAUCGCGAUAAAUGACUAAUCUGAUUGCAAAUCAUCCUCUUAAUCAUCCACAAAUCCAGGAUCUGUAAUUAUAUUCUCCAAUUCUUUAGCUUUUUCAUCAUUGAAGCCCAGUGCAGCCAAUACCUUAUAACCUGGUGAUCCUUGUUGUGCCCACACUCCAAGGAGCACAUGAGUAGUUGUAAUCUCCCCACCGUUACCGGAUUUGAGUUUUUCAUCAAAUGCCCAAUCUAGAGCCUUUUGCGCGUCUUCAGUCAAAGGAGGUUCCUUGGGACUGCAAUGGAAUACGUCCCCUUUUCCAAGUAUUUUGAUAGCUUCUUCACGAAAUUUCAAGAGAGUAAUACUGUUUGCCAUCAAAUAUUUUGAAGCAAAAUUUGUCCCUUCAAUCAACAUCCCCAGGAUAAGAGCUUCUGUUCCAGUAGUAUCAUAUUUAAGUUUUCUUGCUUCCAGUUCAGCCAUGGUAAAUGAUUUUACCGCCUUUGCUGACCAUUUAGGAAUUUUCUCUAUUGGUACUGUAGGCUCCGACUUCCCACGGGGAAGGACGAAGGAGACAUUUGCUCUAAUAGUGCACUGUUUUGACAGAAAUUGCUUGAAAUUCUUGGACUGAAGAGAGAAUUUGAUUGGAGUACCUAGCCAUUUACACUGCAGAUUUUUCAGUUCCAAUGGGUUUUUGGUCCAGAGAAAUGAAUCGGUUCCUCUGCAAUUCAGCUGAUUGAUGCUCUUAGAAGUUGCUGCCACUGUGGAGAUAGCUUGAACAGCCAUUUUUGCCGUAAAACUCAGCUCCAAUUUGAGAAAAAAUGAGUUGAAAAUUGGACCUUUCUGG
rnacentral:misc_RNA from 1 species